CUGAUUUUUUUCUUCAGUGUUACUGAUCUACUCCAAGAACUUGGUGAUAUUGGAUGUCAUCUCCCACACCCAACUGUCCUGAUCCUAAGAUUAAAACAAUCUGCUCUCAACUCUAGCUUGGCAAUGGAUGCAGAGGAAGCUAUGAAACAGGAUACUGAGCAGUCCCCAGACACUGAGUCACUGGUUGAAGGUGUGAGAACCCUGUUACGAUCCCUUGAGGUCCGGCAGCAGCGCCUCCUGGCAAACAUUGCCAGCUGCGACGAGCUGAUGGCAGAGAUCACCAGUCUUCAGGCCGCUCUCUGUGCACCUGCCAGAACAGAGGGCAGCUCCUUGCCUGUGCAAGAGGAGAACAAGCAUUCCUGACAUGCUUAAUGAGCAGCUCACCUGAGGGCUACUGAUGGAGGAAGCCACUACAACUCUCCUUGGCUGUUCCCUACAAAAUAUACUUGCCCUCUAUUCCCUGAACUCUUGACAUGUGUUUGGGGUAAGUGCAUAGUGCUGUGACCUGCACUCCCAAUCUCAUGGUCUAGAAAUAAAUGACAACUCUUUGCUGUAACUCUGAAAAAGCUGCAGCCUGUCACAAGUUAAUGCCUGAGGAAAAGAAACAGUCUGACAAGCCCAGCUCCGAUCAGUGCACAGGAGCAGUUGCACUGCAGAGGCUGCAUCUCACCCUUUGUCCUGCUGAUCUGUGUCCUUCAUCCCCUCACAACCUUCAGCAGAGGAUGGCUCCAGCUUGUAAAUUCCUUUCCCCUCAUUCCUAGGUAUGGUCCUAUCUGUAUUUUGAAUGGGGGAGGAAUAUUACUAUGGAGCAGUGAUGCCUUUGACAGCAGGUCAAACUGCUGCUGCUUUCUGCUCCAUGAAUCAGGCUUCUUUUGGGGAUGGAGGAGAUGCAGAAGCCCAGCAGCUUCUGGUUCCUGUGUCCCAGCUGCCCUGGUUUGACAGUAGCCAUUUCACUUUAGGAGUUUGAGGGAGCUGCUGCCAGGACCAAUAUGCUUUGAUUUACUUCAGUCUGAGACUGGGUGAAAGAGGGUCCCUAAAAUAGUCCUGGAAGAAUUGACCCACUUGGUGCCUCAUACCGCCCCUCAAGAGUUAUGCUCCUGGAAAGGCAGGGCCAGGGCUCUGGCUGGAGUGAGAUGAACCUUGAGU